UGCGGGGUCGUCUAAUGGUAGGACUAUUGCCUCUGGAGCAAUGUAUCUUGGUUCGAGUCCAAGCCCCGCAG
rfam:Candidatus Wolfebacteria bacterium RIFCSPLOWO2_01_FTLL_47_17b rifcsplowo2_01_scaffold_55374, whole genome shotgun sequence.